rnacentral:rRNA from 1 species
GACGAACGCUGGCGGCGUGCUUAACACAUGCAAGUCGAACGGAAAGGCCCUGCUUUUGUGGGGUGCUCGAGUGGCGAACGGGUGAGUAACACGUGAGUAACCUGCCCUUGACUUUGGGAUAACUUCAGGAAACUGGGGCUAAUACCGGAUAGGAGCUCCUGCUGCAUGGUGGGGGUUGGAAAGUUUCGGCGGUUGGGGAUGGACUCGCGGCUUAUCAGCUUGUGGGUGGGGUAGUGGCUUACCAAGGCUUUGACGGGUAGCCGGCCUGGGAGGGUGACCGGCCCCAUCAGCACUCAGAUACGGCCCAGACUCCUCCGGGAGCCAGCAGUGGGGAAUAUGGCACAAUGGGCGGAACCCGGAUGGAGCAACGCCGCGUUCGUGAUAGCGGCCUUCUGGUUGUAAACCGCUAUCGCCUGUGACGAAGCGUUAGUGACGGUAAUGGAUAAAGAAGCACCGGCUAACUACGUG